rnacentral:rRNA from 1 species
GACGAACGCUGGCGGCGUGCUUAACACAUGCAAGUCGAGCGGUAAGGCCCUUUCGGGGUACGACGAGCGGCGAACGGGUGAGUAACACGUGGGUGACCUGCCUUUAGCUCUGGGAUAAGCCUGGGAAACUGGGUCGUAAUACCGGAUAUGACCCUAUGGCGCAUGUUGUGGGGUGGAAAGCCUUGUGCGGCUAGGGAUGGGCCCGCGGCCUAUCAGCUUGUUGGUGGGGUGAUGGCCUACCAAGGCGACGACGGGUAGCCGGCCUGAGAGGGUGACCGGCCACACUGGGACUGAGACACGGCCCAGACUCCUACGGGAGGCAGCAGUGGGGAAUAUUGGACAAUGGGCGGAAGCCUGAUCCAGCAACGCCGCGUGAGGGAUGACGG